UUUAGGAUUUAGGGUUUAGGGUUUAGGGUUUAGAGUUUAGGGUCUAGAGUUUAGGGUUUAGGAUUUGGGGUUUAGGGUUUAGAGUUUAGAGUUUAGGGUUUAGGGUUUAGAGUUUAGAGUUUAAGGUUUAAGGUUUAGGGUUUAGGGUUUAUGGUUUAGAGUUUAGGGUUUAGGGUUUAGAGUUUAGGGUUUAGGGUUUA
rnacentral:lncRNA from 1 species